rnacentral:lncRNA from 1 species
UAUGAACCAGGUUUUCAGCACAAGUCACACUCAACACCCUUACCCAACAGGAGGGGCGACGGAGGCUCAGAGAGGGAGUGUAGGGGGAGGAUGUCAAUGGGAGACCCCAGCCUGAGCCCUGAGCAGCUGGCCAGCCAGGAACUGGCAUGUGAGUGAGAGGCAUCCUAUUCUCCUGCUGCUCCAAAGACAAUGCCCGCUGAACAGGAUGGCAGGCCACAUCAGCAGUCCAUACAGAAGUGAGGCUGUCAUUUCUUCCCCUGGAGCACCAGUGAGGACAGGCCCCAGCUGGGAGCCAGGCAAGGUGGGUGAGCUCUGUGCUAACCACACUGGGAGCUCGGGUAAGCAUGAGGGCAAGGCUGGAGAGGUCCAGGACCCCUGCGUGUUGCUUCCCACUCCUGCCAGGCUGGCACACCCCCGUUCUUCACCAUCCCUAGCACAGAGCCCAGGGCCAGGGGGCAGAGGGCAGGGCUGGCUCAGGAGCAGGGCUGGCCCGUCCCAUAGCGCCACUCACAUUGCCCCUUCCCCUCUCUCAUCCCAGCUCUGGUCACUUAGAUGCUGCCAUGAGAGGCUCUGAAAUCCACCCCCACUGCAGCCAAAGGCCCAAGUCAGAGCCAAACCUGCACUGUGCUCGGACUGACAGGCUGGGGUCAGGAGAGGGAAGACAUCCACUGAGGGAGGUCCAGGUGGCAGGAGGCAGAACAGGAUACUCUGAGGAGACACAGGAAAGGGUGCCAACAUCUAGGACUGAGGCCAUCUGGACCCACAUGACUAUGUUGCUUUUUGUGUGUGAAUGUUUCUCUGCUUCAACAUUUUCAGAAAUUUCACAUCUAGACGUGUCAGAAAAUUAACAAUUCCAUGCCAGAGAAAAGGCCUUGCCUAUAACCCAGUAGAGGCCCCCCAGUUCCCAGCAGGAUGGUGGCAGAGCUGCUGACUGGGCAGGCCCUGCGGGUCCGGGUCUCUGGGUGCCAGCAGGAGGGAGCUGGUGACCAGACAUAGUUGUGUGGGGGAGGGUCCGGACGAAGGGGUUGUCAGGGACAGUGGGGCCACAGUCAUUCCGAGAGCUGGGCACCUGAAAAGCACAUCACAUGGAAGGGUCCCGGCCUUGCA